AUUCCAGCUCCAAUAGCGUAUAUUAAAGUUGUUGCAGUUAAAAAGCUCGUAGUUGAAUUUUGGACUUGGCUGGUUGGUCUUUGCGAAAGCAAAGUACUAUUCCGGCUGAGUCUUUCCUUCUGGCGAACAAUUGUGCUAUUUAUUUAGUGCGAUUGGGAACCAGGACUUUUACUUUGAAAAAAUUAGAGUGUUUAAAGCAGGCUUACGCUUGAAUACAUUAGCAUGGAAUAAUAAAAUAGGACUUUGGUUUUAUUUUGUUGGUUUUCGAAACCAAAGUAAUGAUUAAUAGGGAUAGUUGGGGGCAUUAGUAUUGAGCCGUCAGAGGUGAAAUUCUUGGAUUGGCUCAAGACUAACUUCUGCGAAAGCAUUUGCCAAGGAUGUUUUCAUCA
rnacentral:rRNA from 1 species